GUUCCACCUCUUCUCAAAACCCUCUGCAAUGGACCUCCAUUCAUCUGUGGAGGGCACAGCCAUGAACUCCUCCACUAAGCAGUCCCAGAUUGCGGUCACCACGUCUGGGACAACCUUGCAGACUGUGGAGACACCAACACGGAAGCUGCUGGCGAUGGUCCGGAAGGAGUCUCCAGUGGCAAGAUAUCUGAAAGAGAGAGAGAAAAUAAAAAAUAAAAUAAACAUUGUUAUAAAUGCAGACUGCAAUUCCAUAUUAGCAAAUAUAAAUUUAUAAUACUGGUGUUUGAGACAUCUUCAUUUCUCUUUAGUUUUUUACAGUUAAACAACAACAAGCUUGAUAAAAUGCCCUUAAUACUUCACCUUUAUUUAGCAUUUGCUCUGAUUUGCUUGCUACAUUGCAAAAACAGACUAUUAUUCAAUAUUAUAAUAUAGCAGUUACCUGCACAAUUCAAAACCCACUCUGACUGUUGUAGACUAAAGUUAAUUGCCAUUUCAUUAAAGUGCUGUAUUGAUAACUGUGUGUUCAGAAGAGUGAAGACUAUAUGUCUGUGGAGGUUCUCACUCAUUAAUUACUUGUAAUCACACAGAAUAUUAAAGAGUUUACUGACCGGAGACAGAUGGACAGGCACUCUGCAGGUGGAAUACAGUGCCUGUAGUUGGUGUCCUGGCGGGAAAUCCUCCCACCGACACGGGACAACAGGUCAUCAAACUGGGACCGGCUCAGUCGGAAGUAUGAAGCGAAUUUCACGCGCGAAUAAAGCGAGUAAACUCAAAAUGUUCAAGCGUCCAACUACGCGCGAAUAGCACGAUUUAUUCACGCAAGUCGCGUCUGGUGUGAACGCACAGUUACAUGGAGCGUGAAAAUGUGCUGAAACUGAAAACAGGUUUUGAUCUUUCAUGGUAAACACAUAUUGGUACCACUUGUUCUGUGAUUUCAGAAGCAUCAGAAAAAACCCAGGAGGACACAGGAGAAGUUCCUGAUUUUAACAUUUCUGAAGGGAGCAACAUUUCUGAAUAGAAAACACAGAUUCUUCCAUGCUGACGGCCGUGCACAAGAGUUGGAGCGUAUCUCCUGUCGAAGAACAUCUCUAGACAUUAUGAACCAUCUGUCUAUUUAGUUUAGCUCCAACCCCAAUUAAGCAGACCUGAGCAGCUGAUCAAGGAUCACCAGAAACUCUGCAGAACGUUGGUCCUCCAUGCCCAGGACUGGACACCAGUGUUAAUCUCCACUUCUAAGCUUCUCACAGAAAAUGGAGGAACUGGUGUAUGCUGGGACCAAACUCUCCCACUCGUUCGCUGCAAGCCCCCAGAUAUCAACUAAAAAACGGCGGGCCCCACAACCACCAAAGACUUCAGGCCCAGCUCUCCCUCCUCCUACUGUGAGAGCUCUUCGACCGCUGCCACAACGCCAGGGCCCAAACCCUCCUCCAUCGGCUGUAGGUGAACCAAAAACAACUGAUAACAGCUCUCAGUGAUAUGUGUCGGGUCCCCGCUAUAUUAGCAGCAACACUCACAAAUGUUCACAGAACAAGCGGGAACCCAGUGUGCCUGUAGCUUUUUAUAUUUCUGUUUUAUCACGUGAUAGAAAAUCUAAGGCCUUCUCAAGCCGUACGGCUGACCCAUCUAAUCUGCGGCCUGUAAUGCGUCAAUCUAAGAUUGCUGUAGAGACAAAAUGUAAUUCCAUCAAGUUAGCAUUUUUAAACAUUCGCUCACUAAAAAAUAAAUCAUUUCUGAUCAAUGAUUUUAUAACCACAAACAACCUGGAUUUUAUGUUUCUAAAUGAAACAUGGCUUGAAGACAGCUGCAGUGCAACAGUCCUCAAUGAAACAGCCCCUCCUAACUUUAACUUUACAAGUGUCUGCAGGACUGUUAGGAGAGGUGGAGGUGUAGCUGCUCUAUUUAAAGAUGUUUAUCAAUGCAAGCAAGUGUCAUUUGGUCAGUAUUUGUCCUUUGAAUAUCUAGGUAUUGUGCUGAAAGGUGCUCCACGCAUUCUGUUUAUCAUUAUUUACAGGCCUCCAAAAUACUCUCCAGCCUUUGUUGAAGAGUUCACAGAACUGUUAUCAAUGAUUUCCUCCUUUCCUGACUGUUUUACUAUUGCAGGGGAUUUUAAUAUUCACAUAGAUAAUGCGGAAAUCAAAACUGCAAAAUAAAUUAUUACUGUUUUAAACACUUUUGAUCUGAUCCAGCAUGUGCAUGAACCCACACACAAUCGUGGACACACUCUAGAUUUACUCAUCAGUAAAGGUCUAAACAUUUCAUCCAUUGUUGUUAAGGAUGUAGCACUAUCUGAUCACUUCUGUAUUUUCUUUGAUAUAUUGAUCUCUGUUACCACUGAAUCUAGAUCUGUCUCUGUCAGAAAGAGAUGCAUUAAUGAGAACACUAGUGCGCUAUUUAUGAAGGCUAUAUCUUUAACAUCAAGCAUUUCUGCAGACUCUGUUGAUCUUCUCCUGGAUUCUUUUAACUAAAAAGUUAAGAAUGUUAUUGAUGAUAUUGCUCCGACAAGGGUCUGCAAGAAGAAUGGCAGACAAAAAUCACCAUGGAGAAAAUCAACAGCAGUUCAGAGUAUGAAAAGACAAUGCAGAAAAGCUGAGCGGAUGUGGCGGAAGACAAAACUUGAAAUUCACUAUAGCAUCUAUAAAGACAGCCUUCAUGCUUUCAAUGUGGAACUAGCCACAGCUAGACAGACCUUCUUCUCAAACCUUAUAAACGGUAACUUAAACAACUCUCGCACUCUUUUUGCUACUGUGGAGAGACUGACGAACCCCCCCAAGUCAGAUUCCCAGUGAAAUGCUCUCCAACAGUAAAUGCAAUGAGUUCGCUUCCUCCUUUUCUGAGAAGAUCAAUAAUAUCAGAAAGGAGAUUGGCAUAUCUACUUUUGCAGAGGUCACACAGAUUCGACCGCAAUUUCAAAAAGAAGUGACUAUGUCUGUUUUUGAAGCAAUUGAUUGCAAAAUAUUGAAAGAAAUAGUACAGCACCUUAAAUCAUCAACCUGCUAUCUUGACACACUUCCCACAUCUUUUUUCAAAAGUGUGCUUAACUGUUUAGAAGCAGAUCUCUUAGAAGUGGUGAACGCCUCACUUCUUUCUGGGACUUUUCCAAACUCCCUGAAAACUGCAGUUGUUAAGCCCCUUCUGAAAAAGCGCAAUCUUGAUAACACAAUGUUGAACAACUAUAGACCAAUAUCAAAUCUUCCGUUCAUAGGUAAGAUUAUUGAAAAGGUAGUUUUUAAUCAGCUGAACAACCACUUAAACUUAAAUGGAUACCUGGACAAUUUUCAAUCUGGUUUCCGAGCACAUCAUAGCACAGAGACAGCACUCAUUAAGAUAAUAAAUGAUAUUCGCUUCAAUUCUGAUUCAGGCAAAAUAUCAGUGCUGGUACUACUAGAUCUUAGUGCUGCGUUUGACACUGUUGAUCAUAACAUACUUCUAGAGAGACUGGAAAACUGGAUCGGGCUUUCUGGGAUGGUACUCAAAUGGUUCAGGUCAUACUUAGACUUAUGCUCUCCUAUACUCACAUAAUAACAUCUCCCUUCUAAGUGGACAACCAUGACAUGCGGAGUCCCACAAGGCUCAAUUCUUGCACCGCUCUUGUUUAGCCUGUAUAUGCUCCCACUAAGUCAAAUAAUGAGAGAGAACCAAAUUGCCUAUCACAGCUAUGCUGAUGAUACGCAGAUUUACCUAGCCUUAUCUCCAAAUGACUACAGCCCCAUUGACUCCCUCUGCCAAUGCAUUGAUGAAAUAAACUGUUGGAUGUCUCAGAACUUUCUUCAGUUAAAUAAGGAGAAAACUGAAGUCAUUGCAUUUGGAAACAAAGAUGAAGUUAUCAAGGUGAAUGCAUACCUUGACUCUAGGGGUCAAUCAACUAAAAACCAAGUCAAAAAUCUUGGGGUGUUUCUGGAGACAGACCUUAGUUUUAGUAGUCAUGUCAAAGCAGUAACUAAAUCAGCAUACUAUCAUCUCAAAAACAUUGCAAGAAUUAGAUGUUUUGUUUCCAGUCAAGACUUGGAGAAACUGGUUCAUGCCUUUUAUCACCAGCAGGGUGGAUUAUUGUAAUGGUCUCCUCACCGGCCUUCCAAAGAAAACAAUUAGACAGCUGCAGCUCAUCCAGAACGCUGCUGCCAGGAUUCUGACUAGAACCAGAAAAUUUGAGCAUAUCACACCAGUCCUCAGGUCCUUACACUGGCUUCCGGUUACAUUUAGGAUUGAUUUUAAAGUACUUUUACUCGUUUAUAAAUCUCUAAAUGGCCUAGGACCUAAAUACAUUGGAGAUAUGCUCACUGAAUAUAAACCUAACAGACCACUCAGAUCAUUAGGAUCGAGUCAGUUAGAAAUACCAAGGGUUCACACAAAACAAGGGGAGUCUGCUUUUAGCUAUUAUGCUGCCCGCAGUUGGAACCAGCUUCCAGAAGACAUCAGAUGUGCUAAAACAUUAGCCACUUUUAAAUCCAGACUCAAAACUCAUCUGUUUAGCUGUGCAUUUGUUGAAUGAGCAAUGUGCUACGUCCGAACUGAUUGCACUAUGUAUAAUCACUCUCUAUCCUUAUCCUCUAGAAUUUUUUUAAUUCUUUUAAAAUCAAUUUUUAAAUCACUUUGUUUUUAUUGUUGUGAUUUUUAUUAUUUUUAAUCUCUUAUUAUUUUUAAUGACUAUUUCACUUCCUUUUAUGUAAAGCACUUUGAAUUACCAUUGUGUAUGAAAUGUGCUAUAUAAAUAAACUUGCCUUGCCUUGCCUUGAGUUGGUAAUAAAAUCCUUGUUACUGAGCUCUUCGUCUCCUCGUUUCCCUGGCUCCGAGAGCAUCCUGACAAUUCUGCUAUGAGUAGGCUAC